UUAAGCGACUAAGCGUACACGGUGGAUGCCCUGGCAGUCAGAGGCGAUGAAGGACGUGCUAAUCUGCGAUAAGCGCCGGUAAGGUGAUAUGAACCGUUAUAACCGGCGAUUUCCGAAUGGGGAAACCCAGUGUGAUUCGUCACACUAUCAUUAACUGAAUCCAUAGGUUAAUGAGGCGAACCGGGGGAACUGAAACAUCUAAGUACCCCGAGGAAAAGAAAUCAACCGAGAUUCCCCCAGUAGCGGCGAGCGAACGGGGAGGAGCCCAGAGCCUGAAUCAGCAUGUGUGUUAGUGGAAGCGUCUGGAAAGGCGCGCGAUACAGGGUGACAGCCCCGUACACAAAAGCGCAUGUGCUGUGAGCUCGAUGAGUAGGGCGGGACACGUGGUAUCCUGUCUGAAUAUGGGGGGACCAUCCUCCAAGGCUAAAUACUCCUGACUGACCGAUAGUGAACCAGUACCGUGAGGGAAAGGCGAAAAGAACCCCGGCGAGGGGAGUGAAAAAGAACCUGAAACCGUGUACGUACAAGCAGUGGGAGCACAGGUUUACCUGUGUGACUGCGUACCUUUUGUAUAAUGGGUCAGCGACUUAUAUUCUGUAGCAAGGUUAACCGUAUAGGGGAGCCGGAGGGAAACCGAGUCUUAAUUGGGCGUUAAGUUGCAGGGUAUAGACCCGAAACCCGGUGAUCUAGCCAUGGGCAGGUUGAAGGUUGGGUAACACUAACUGGAGGACCGAACCGACUAAUGUUGAAAAAUUAGCGGAUGACCUGUGGCUGGGGGUGAAAGGCCAAUCAAACCGGGAGAUAGCUGGUUCUCCCCGAAAGCUAUUUAGGUAGCGCCUCGUGAAUUCAUCUCCGGGGGUAGAGCACUGUUUCGGCUAGGGGGCCAUCCCGGCUUACCAACCCGAUGCAAACUGCGAAUACCGGAGAAUGUUAUCACGGGAGACACACGGCGGGUGCUAACGUCCGUCGUGAAGAGGGAAACAACCCAGACCGCCAGCUAAGGUCCCAAAGUCAUGGUUAAGUGGGAAACGAUGUGGGAAGGCCCAGACAGCCAGGAUGUUGGCUUAGAAGCAGCCAUCAUUUAAAGAAAGCGUAAUAGCUCACUGGUCGAGUCGGCCUGCGCGGAAGAUGUAACGGGGCUAAACCAUGCACCGAAGCUGCGGCAGCGAACGUAUCACCCAAGACAACUUUACGGAGUUGACGAUUGACGGAGCGAAGCGACGUCAAAGCGUUCAUUAAAGUCGAGUUGGCUUAGGGAUACGUUCGUUGGGUAGGGGAGCGUUCUGUAAGCCUGUGAAGGUGUGUCGUGGAGGCAUGCUGGAGGUAUCAGAAGUGCGAAUGCUGACAUAAGUAACGAUAAAGCGGGUGAAAAGCCCGCUCGCCGGAAGACCAAGGGUUCCUGUCCAACGUUAAUCGGGGCAGGGUGAGUCGACCCCUAAGGCGAGGCCGAAAGGCGUAGUCGAUGGGAAACGGGUUAAUAUUCCCGUACUUGGUGUUACUGCGAAGGGGGGACGGAGAAGGCUAUGUUGGCCGGGGCGACGGUUGUCCCGGUUUAAGCGUGUAGGUGUGUGUUCCAGGUAAAUCCGGUUCACUUUAACACUGAGGCGUGACGACGAGGCACUACGGUGCUGAAGCAACAAAUGCCCUGCUUCCAGGAAAAGCCUCUAAGCAUCAGGUAACACGAAAUCGUACCCCAAACCGACACAGGUGGUCAGGUAGAGAAUACCAAGGCGCUUGAGAGAACUCGGGUGAAGGAACUAGGCAAAAUGGUGCCGUAACUUCGGGAGAAGGCACGCUGACACGUAGGUGAAGUGAUUUACUCAUGGAGCUGAAGUCAGUCGAAGAUACCAGCUGGCUGCAACUGUUUAUUAAAAACACAGCACUGUGCAAACACGAAAGUGGACGUAUACGGUGUGACGCCUGCCCGGUGCCGGAAGGUUAAUUGAUGGGGUCAGCGUAAGCGAAGCUCCUGAUCGAAGCCCCGGUAAACGGCGGCCGUAACUAUAACGGUCCUAAGGUAGCGAAAUUCCUUGUCGGGUAAGUUCCGACCUGCACGAAUGGCGUAAUGAUGGCCAGGCUGUCUCCACCCGAGACUCAGUGAAAUUGAACUCGCUGUGAAGAUGCAGUGUACCCGCGGCAAGACGGAAAGACCCCGUGAACCUUUACUAUAGCUUGACACUGAACAUUGAGCCUUGAUGUGUAGGAUAGGUGGGAGGCUUUGAAGUGUGGACGCCAGUCUGCAUGGAGCCGACCUUGAAAUACCACCCUUUAAUGUUUGAUGUUCUAACGUGGACCCGUAAUCCGGGUUGCGGACAGUGUCUGGUGGGUAGUUUGACUGGGGCGGUCUCCUCCUAAAGAGUAACGGAGGAGCACGAAGGUUGGCUAAUCCUGGUCGGACAUCAGGAGGUUAGUGCAAUGGCAUAAGCCAGCUUGACUGCGAGCGUGACGGCGCGAGCAGGUGCGAAAGCAGGUCAUAGUGAUCCGGUGGUUCUGAAUGGAAGGGCCAUCGCUCAACGGAUAAAAGGUACUCCGGGGAUAACAGGCUGAUACCGCCCAAGAGUUCAUAUCGACGGCGGUGUUUGGCACCUCGAUGUCGGCUCAUCACAUCCUGGGGCUGAAGUAGGUCCCAAGGGUAUGGCUGUUCGCCAUUUAAAGUGGUACGCGAGCUGGGUUUAGAACGUCGUGAGACAGUUCGGUCCCUAUCUGCCGUGGGCGCUGGAGAACUGAGGGGGGCUGCUCCUAGUACGAGAGGACCGGAGUGGACGCAUCACUGGUGUUCGGGUUGUCAUGCCAAUGGCACUGCCCGGUAGCUAAAUGCGGAAGAGAUAAGUGCUGAAAGCAUCUAAGCACGAAACUUGCCCCGAGAUGAGUUCUCCCUGAGACUUAGAGUCUCCUGAAGGAACGUUGAAGACGACGACGUUGAUAGGCCGGGUGUGUAAGCGCAGCGAUGCGUUGAGCUAACCGGUACUAAUGAACCGUGAGGCUUAACCUU
rnacentral:rRNA from 1 species